UACGUAGGGUGCGAGCGUUGUCCGGAAUUACUGGGCGUAAAGAGCUCGUAGGUGGUUUGUCGCGUUGUUCGUGAAAUCUCACGGCUUAACUGUGAGCGUGCGGGCGAUACGGGCAGACUAGAGUACUGCAGGGGAGACUGGAAUUCCUGGUGUAGCGGUGGAAUGCGCAGAUAUCAGGAGGAGCACCGGUGGCGAAGGCGGGUCUCUGGGCCGAUACUGACGCUGAGGAGCGAAAGCGUGGGGAGCGAACAGG
rnacentral:rRNA from 1 species